rnacentral:rRNA from 1 species
CCUACGGGAGGCAGCAGUGGGGAAUAUUGGACAAUGGGCGAAAGCCUGAUCCAGCAAUGCCGCGUGAGUGAAGAAGGCCUUCGGGUUGUAAAGCUCUUUUACCCGGGAAGAUAAUGACUGUACCGGGAGAAUAAGCUCCGGCUAACUCCGUGCCAGCAGCCGCGGUAAUACGGAGGGAGCUAGCGUUGUUCGGAAUUACUGGGCGUAAAGCGUACGUAGGCGGCUUGGUAAGUCAGAGGUGAAAGCCCACGACUCAAUCGUGGAACUGCCUUUGAGACUGCUUCGCUUGAAGAUGGGAGAGGUUAGUGGAAUUCCGAGUGUAGAGGUGAAAUUCGUAGAUAUUCGGAAGAACACCAGUGGCGAAGGCGGCUAACUGGACCAUUCUGACGCUGAGGUACGAAAGCGUGGGGAGCAAACAGGAUUAGAUACCCUGGUAGUCCACGCCGUAAACGAUGAUAGCUAGCUGUCGGGGCUCUUGGAGCUUCGGUGGCGCNGACUACGACAUUAAGUUAUCCGUCCGUGGGAGGUACGGCCGCGAACGUUAAACGUAACGAAAGUAGAAGUUAGACGGUCGUGUAGUUACGUUAGUCGAACGGACGACGACGAGGGAGAGG